UUCUGAGACUCUGGGACCUCGGGUCCUAAAAACUGGAAGUUCGCAGGGAAAGAUGGCCCUUCAUAGUCUCAAGGUCCGCUUUCUAAAAUAAAGCGAUCCGUGCAAGCUGACGUCUGGGGAAGAGAAAGGAUGGGGGCUACGGGCUGCCGCAGGCUUUCGGACCCGCGUGUCCAGGGGCCCGCGGCGGCGCGGGAGAAGAGCGCGAGAGGUGUGAGCUGUGCGUCCGGCGCACGGGGAUGAGAAACCUGAUCGCGGGCCGAUUCUUUACCGAUGAGCCAGCCAUCAGGGAAGCCCUCCUAUCUCCUGGCAUAUUUAUUUCCACAAUAAGGAAGAAAAGAGAGGCCCAUGGAACCAAACACCUGCCACUGGACGUCCUCACAGGAAUGAGGACAUCUCAGCCCCAGGAUCAGUUCUGUGUAUCCAUCAGGAGCUAGUGUGCAGCUAACCACUCAUCCCACGAGAUGGUUCUUUUAAAGUGGAGCCUCUGUUCAACCACAUGGAAAGAUGCUCAGCCUCAUUCAAAGUAAAAGGAAUGAAUGCAGAUUUAAGAGUAUCAGGAGAUCCCAUUUUUCACCUAGUCAGUUGAUGAACAUUAAAGUUUGGCGAUUCUGUGUGUUGGCCAGGAAGACCAAAUUGGUGCAAUUGUCACUUUACUCAGCUCUUUGCAGAGCAAGAUAGAAGUAUGAAUCACAAAAAUUUAAUUGUAUUUACCCUUUGACCCAACAAUCCCACUCAGCAAUUUAUCCUCCAGAUAGCGUCCCUCAUGCACACAAAGAUAUUUGCACUUCAGUAUUUACAGUAGAAUGUUUGUAGAAGCAAAAAACUGCAUCGCCCUAUAUGCUGUCAGUAUAUUAAGUAGAGUAUGUUAUACAUAGGAAUGGAAUACUGUGCAGUGAUCUUUGAGGUAUAUUAACUCUAUGAUGUCAGUUCAGUUCAGUUGCUCAGUUGUGUCUGACUCUGCUACCCCAUGGACUGCAGUAUGCCAGGCUUCCCUGUCCAUCACCAACUAACUAUGGUGUAAAAUUGUGUAUUUGAAAAAGAAGAUCUGGGGAAUAUAUAUGUUUAUAUAUACAAUUCCUGGGAAAAUGUACAAGGAACAGGUUUGUAACUUGUUAGGUUUGUAAACCGUGUAUCCAUUUUUAAAUACAUAAAAAUUUAAAAUAAAUGAGACAACCCAAUA